GACGUAGGGCGCGAGCGUUGUCCGGAAUUAUUGGGCGUAAAGAGCUCGUAGGCGGUCUGUCGCGUCGGAUGUGAAAAUCCAGGGCUCAACCCUGGACCUGCAUUCGAUACGGGCAGACUAGAGUUCGGCAGGGGAGACUGGAAUUCCUGGUGUAGCGGUGAAAUGCGCAGAUAUCAGGAGGAACACCGGUGGCGAAGGCGGGUCUCUGGGCCGAAACUGACGCCUGGAGGAAGCGAAAGCGUGGGGAGCAAACAGGAUUAGACUACCC
rnacentral:rRNA from 1 species